UAGGCUUUCCCAAUGACUUCAAACCGUUUAGGUUGGUCCAAAUGACUUUGACUUGAUGGUGGUAAAAGGAUACCCAUAAGAUGAUGAGGGACAAGUCUCUACAAAAAAUUGUCUUCUCUUAUUUCUUACUCGCCAAGCGACUGUCAUUUGAAAAAAGCUAUAUAUACGUAGCUCCUGCAUAUUCGGGAGACUAACUUUUCCCAAAGCACUGCACAUACCAUUAGGUUCAUCGGCACGUUUUUUUGCAGAACUCUUUGAGCAGAUCUUAUUGAUGGCUUCGAUUUGGACAGAAAACUUUUGGGCUUAAUUAAUCUGUGGGUCGUAUCUGAGAGCCGAUCUGUUACCAUGAGCUAAAACUCGAUUACGAACUCUAGUCAUUGACUUCAGCUGUAUCUUGGUCUAGUUGCGAAGGCGUUGGGAACACUCAGAGCUCGAUUUCCUAGUGAGAGGUGGUAUAUUGUAUAUAUAAUCUUGUUCAGAAAGCCGCUGCGAUCGCUCGAUACUCGACUCUCUGGCACGCGAUUGCGAAUUGCAUUCUCUCUGAAGUGUAAGACGAUUUUCAGUUUCUGAUGAAGAUUCUUCAUUUCGGCGUCUUUUUGAUGCCCUCACCUAUUAACUAUUUCUAGAAAGUUGAGAUAUUGAUUUUAUGGAUAUUUGAGAAAGAAAAAAAAAUUAACUGUCUUUGUACUAAGUUA